CUGGAGACCAGUAACCGGCUGAAGCUUUCAGUAAGGAGACGGUGUGAAGCUGCAGCGUGGAGCAGGCCUGUUCAGUUUUGUGUGGCCACUGAAUGCAAGUCAUGCUAGCUGGAGUUUCACACUAUAUGAUCUCCCUCUUUGUUUUAACUGGGGCGCAAAGUCAGUAAACCCUGGUCGACAAAGGGCCUGUGAGCAGGCUUGUGAUUGAGCAAGUCGAUUAUAUCUUCUGUCAUUGGGUGUGUGUGUGUGUGUGAGUGUGUAAGUUCGUGUGUGAGAGAGACAGGGGUCUGCAGUAUGUCCAUUAUCUGUUCAUAGAGCGCUGUUCUGGGGUCAGCUCUUAUGACAUCUGAUCAGCAGAAGUUUAACACAAACCCUGAGAGGAAACGCACAAACCCCACUCUGUCAUGGCUUUUCUGGGGUAUUGCCCAGUGCAGUAUGGGUAAUAAGAGUGACCAGGUUGUUAGCGGAAGAUGGAAAGGGGAUGGAGGAGGGGUGGGAGGGUAUGUCUGGUUGCUAGGAUACAUGACCGGCGCCAACAGCGGAUAUGAUUUAUAAUGGCCAGCCUCACUGUCUCGCUUUCUCCGCAAGUUUCCUCCUUCCUCUCCUCCCUCUCCACCCUCAUGUUCUCUCCUCAGCAUUUCUACUGGUCUAUUAACUGGCCCUGUCUGGCUGAUCUGAGUGCUUACUGCUGGCAUUGGUAAAGGCUAUUAUUUAUAUGGGUUUUCCUGAUAGUCUCCCCCGCGUGCAGUGUGUGCACGCCGAGAUAAAGUCUGAGCAACUUCAGUUUAUUCGGCAAUAACGAAGGAACUAAUUUUGAGUCCCUCUCGUUUUUUGUCCUUGUGGGUCUUGCACACAGAGUGCAAUUGUAUGCUGUAGGUGCACCAACUUCUGUGUCUUUGAACGUGCAUGUUCACGUGGUCACGCAUAAGCUGUAGCCCACAUGAAUGGAUGAUAUUGAUCUGCAGAGACUUGAUCCACCUCGGGUUGUGAAAAUCCUCAGGCACAAAUGCAGUGUGAGGAGGAGGAGGGUGCACAAGGCCAUGUGAGGGACGGAGACAAAGGGGAAGUGAAAUGUCAGAUGAGAGGAUGUCACACUGAGAUGUAGAAACUGUAGUUUUUUUCUUAAGAGGGGUUUUCAGCUUUUAAGAUAUAUUGUUUGUGCCGUAAGUAAAAGCAGUGAAGCAGUAAAGGGUACACGUAUGAAAUAAUGUUUGUUACAGUGGCUCUUUCAAGCUCUUAACACGGCCGGUUGCACUGCGGUUGAUUUUGAUGCAGAUGAAAAAUAUUUGUUUUUCAUAAUUCCGCUGUGACAUUUUGUCCCAGUCACUCUGGAUAAUCCAAUAAUUUCACUGUGAACACUUUUGAAUUGAAAGGCUUUCUACUGAAGAAAAUCGUCCCUUUGAAAAUUAUUUACAGUGAAGUGUGUGGAUUAUCUGAGUUAACGGGGGACACUAAGUCAGGGUAAGAGAUGCCGCCGCCGAAUUCUUCUAAUGACAUUACUCAAAGCUCGGAGCAGCACAAAUGAAUUCCUAUUCAUUUGUGUUAGUUGACCCCUUAAUACGAGGCCAACGAGAGUCCUCUGUAUCUUCGAGCCAAUAUGGUAUAUUAUGUCUUAUGAGGAGUCGAGCAACCUUAUGGAUUUAUAGUCGAUACGAGGGUUAAUGGGAGUCCUGUGGCGUAGGGUUUGAUUUAUAGUUCCACGUCGACUUUCACUCGUCCAUAGCAGCACUGCCAGACACUGUAGUGACACGUGUACUGUAAACGAUCAGACUACAUUGUACGUGUGUAAUUGGGUUUAUAGUCGUUAAUUUGCAUUCUUUUACGGAGCGACGGUUGACUAUGCAUGUAAUGACAUCACUUUACAUCCAGGUAACUUCGCCAUUUCACAUUGCUGAGUUUAAAAAUACUUUUGCGAUGACUGGGAGAGUGUUUGUGGUGAGGUUACAUCCCUGUUGUGAUGAGACGGCCCGGAAGGAUAGUUUCAUCUCCUUUAAAAUCCAAAUCAAAUCAAACAAUCCCACCAGCAAUGGAAACCUGUAAUAUGAAACACCACGUUGACCAUCACAGUUACAUGUGGAUCUCCAUUUGGCGUCUUUGUGACAUACAAAGUAGCCUCUGCAUAGCUAAGGUGGCUAGGUGCCUAGAACGCACAACUAAAAAUCCAGCUAACGUAACACUAGCAUUUUAGAUGCUUUGAAUCGUUCGACAAAGCUAAAUUGUGUUCUCUGGUCAGCGGAGACAUUGUCAGCCGAUCUAUCUGUCACACUUAACUUAUCCGCACUUAUUAGAUUAGAUUAUUUAGCAACGCAAGAAGUCUGUUUGUCUCGUAGUUCUGCAGCCAUAAGUGAUCCAGGAAGACAUUCAAACUAGAGUGUCCAUAUUUCUCUUUCCCUCCGUCGGUCUGUCCAGUGUCUUCCAGUAAAUGGAGGAUAAUUUUAGAGCGAUAAAGAGCCCAGAGGAUAUCGAGGGGCGGGACACACACACACACACAAAAAGAUGGUCCCUCAUUCCCUGUUGCACCUGCUGACCCCGCAGGAUCCACUGAGAUCGGCUACUGCUGAGUGUGCGGCUUCGACACACUCAGACGCAUAUGGACGCACACGCACACACAUACAGGAAUGCGUACGCACUUUGACUAAUAGGCCUAAUGCUUCCUGAAGAGGGCCCAGUACUACAUUAGCUACGGAUGUGGGAUUGAUUUAGAAACUGAAAGCCUUCUAGUGUGUGUGCGCGCGCUGGUGUGUGUGUGAAUAUGUCGCGCAUUUCCAGUUUCCCAUUCCACUUCUCCGGCAUUACCUCUUUACUCACACAGGGAGAAAAGACACCAUCAUCACCAAUUAAAGAAAUGAAUAUUUGAUAUAUCUUUACAUACAACCAUUUUAAUUUCAAGUAAACAGAGUUUCAUCCCAGAAUGUUAUUCUCGUCAUGGUGGUAACGCCUUCGGAUGAACAUUCAGAACAUCACCAGACACUUUUCCACUCUCUUAUUAAUUUUAGACUCAGCAGUUGGGCUAAUUAAGUCAGUUUGACCCAUCACACCAAUUAACAGCGGUGAAACCUUCCAAUGUCGGAUUAAUUCCUGACAUCAGUAUUGAAAAAAUUAAAUAAUACAAUGGACUCAUGAAUUCAAAUCUGUGCUGUGCUGUGUGGACAACCCUGACAGACGUGUGCAAUAUUUAAAACGGGCAACGUCCAAGUUACUGACCACGGCCUUAGCCUGCCCUGGGGUGACAGAUCAGCAUUUUGCCACACUGACUCUCUGGCUUUUAUGGGGAUUUAGGUUAUACCAACACUGAAAACCUGUGGAAAAACAGUGCUGAUAUUAAUGUUUAGAUAAUGUUCACACAACAUCCAUAAUUGCCACUUUUACCCAUUGAGAAUGAGAUAUUUUCAAAUCAAUUUUAAUACAACACAAAAAAGGCUUAGCUCGCUGUAAUCAUCCCUCCUGUCCACGUUGGCUGGUAAGUGAUACCUCGCUAUCCCUGUAUCCAUAAAAUCCACAGUCCUCUUUCAGUGCGAAAUUAUAAUCUCUGAGUGUAGUUGGAGCGAAUUUAUCAAAUCAAGCUGGUGUUUCCAAAAGUUAUUGUGUUGUUAAAACAAAAAUUUCAUCUAUUUCUUUCCAAGAAAAAAGGCUUUUACUUGCUGCACGUGUCUUUGCUGAGCUUGUCAGUUGAUGGGACCUGCACAGGACCAGGAUAAACAUAUGAAGCAUCAUAUUAUAAUCUCUGCACAUCUAUUGCUGUUGAUGAAUAAAUAUGGUAUCGCGUCUCGGCCAGAAUGGACAGGAGGAGUAAUUACUGUGACCAGCAAGUCUUUCAAUGUACCGUACUUCGAGUACUGCUUUAAAAUAGACAUGAAAAAUAUAUGUAUCUAUGCUUUUUUUUUUUUUAAACAAUUCAUAUUAUCCAAAUCCCAGGGUUGUGAUGAACUCGGACACCUCCUGCAUGUUGCUGUCAAAUGCUUGCUGGUAAAUAUUGGCACACUGAGAUAAAACCUUAGUGCGAAACUGCGUGGAGCUUAACAAAGAAACAAAGAGGCCGUGGUACAUUAUUGGUAGAGAAGCCGGUGAUUGGCAAGAGGAUGCUUGGAGAGCGAAGAGGGCAGAAGAGGAACGGGUUAACGCGUGUCGGGAGCAGAGGAGCGGGCGAGGUGGCCUGGGGGGAGGAGAAGAGAAUGAGCAGAGAAACAGAAAAGCAGACGUGGAGGAGGUGGGGAAUUGAUGAGGCAGAAACCUGGGUUAUUUCUGCUGUGCAUCUAUGUGUCUUUGCUGUGUGUGUGUGUGUGUGUGUGUGUGUGUGUGUGUGUUUGCGUGUGCGCGCACAAAUGUGCACAAGUGUGUAAGUGUGAGCAUGAAUGGCGGGCUUUGGCAGUAAAUGAAACUGUUUAUCAGAUCAAUAUGGCCAUCAUCUCCUAGAUGACUGUGGCCUCUACUGAAGAGCAAUCAUAAAUCACAACCAAAUAUGGAGGACACCAAUCUAUACCGGCUGUGUGUGUGUGUGUGUGUGUGUGUGUGUGUCACUUUUUGUGUGUGUGUGUUCGCAUGGGCAUGCUGUGCUCAGGCAUACUGCUCUGCGUUUGUGUGUGUGUGUGUGUGUGUGUGUGUGUGUGUGUGUGUGUGGUAACCCAGUUUGUAUUUGUACAAUCAGACUCGAUGCUCUGGAGCUGAGAUCUGAGAUUGCAGCAGUCAGAACACGGUGACACGAGACGGACCACACCUUAGACCGCAGUUUGAGCCCGAUCACUGCUCCACAGUGGACACAAUGAGGAUGUUAGACAAGACGCAGAGACGAUCGGUCACAUUGUGAGUGUGACCGUCUGUCCUUCUCCAUAGGGUUAACAACAGCACACAGCGUUCUGUGUCUUACGGCCCCCGGUGCUCUCACUCUGAAUAAUGUAGCCUCCCGAUAUCAGUGACAAGAGUCUCGAAACCAAAAUAGCAUCUUGAGCUCCGAUAAAUAUAGAAGGUAAUUAAAUCGGCAGCCAGAGAGAGACAGAGAAAAGCCAGGGAAAAGGGAAGGUCUUGUUUUUUAUACGUGAGCAUUAAAACUCUCCACUGCAGCAAACUACAGCGGAUCACUUGCACGGGAGCAAAACGCAGUUUGUCAUUUUUGUUCUUAUUUCACUCACCCAAUUGAUAUGUAUUAGUAAUGAGCCGUUUGUUUGGAAUAGUCUUGUGUGAAUUAGCUGGAUUUCUGGGGUUGAUCCGAGUGUGUUUGAGGGCCCUUCCCCAAGCACAGUGAGUCAGCAGUAUUUCACCAGUUCCUGUAGUUCUCAGGAGAGAACUGAGCACUCGCUGCCAUCUGCCUCUUGCCACUCUCUCGCCCUUUUCCCUGCCUGUAUGUUUGCUGUGCCCCUAACGCACCUCGUCUCACGCCACCUGCCCCAUUUUCUGUCAAAUCUUUUGGUUCCUAGUGAAGCCGACAAAUCAGGGCAUUGAUUCUGAGUGUGACACCGCUGCGGAGGAGUUAGAGGAGCAGGGUGAAAGGUUGUCGGGAGGUUGGAUCAGCUUGUCAGAGCAACCAGGCCCCCAUCUUGACAUGAUUUCCUCCGGGAAAGUUUGUGUGUGUGUGUGUGUGUGUGUGUGUGCGCGCCUGUGUGCAUGUGUGUGUGUGUGUGUGUUUGUGACAUGUUGUGACAGAAAGUGACUGACAAGCCCCUUUGCAGCCCAACACCAUCCGCUGCGAAGAGACUAAUGAUGACAGCUCUCAGGCCGUACACACUGCUCUCUUUAUCUCUCCCUCUUUCACACACACACACACACACACACACACACACACACACACACACACACACACACACACACCAUGUCUUGCUGUCUCUUUGUCCUGUGUCUCUCCCUCGACUACCUCUUCCUCUAUCACACACCCACACAGACAAUGGCCUCCUGUAUAUCAUCUCCCCGACACAAAGGCACAAACACACACAUUUACAUGAACGCUCUGGCAAACACACACACAUAUAUUCAUGCAUACGGUCAUAUUCGUUUGCAUGCAUUUUUCCCCCUUGCAUUGUCUGUCUUUCUCUCAGACACACACACACACACACACACACACACACACACGUAAAUGCUGCACUACUCUCUCUGUCUUGGAAUUUUACAUUUUGAUGAAGGAGGAAGCGCGUUGUCCAAUCAGAGACAUGGGAGCAGGGAGAGACCAUGUCAGCGCAGACAGCGGGGUGGAUCGGAGGCAGUUUGACAGAGCGUUAUCUGGAUCGUCCCUACCAGCUCUGCCCCCGGCGCCCCCUGGUCUCGGUGCGGGUGGUGGUACGAUCCGCCAGGCUCGAUAAGAACCCCUCCUCUCGGACUACCCCUCUUCUGUCAGUGCUAGGGUGUAGCUACUGAUCCUAUAACUACAGCAGAGAGAUUGAGAGUGAGAGGGAGGAGGGACAUCAGGUGUCACAGCUCUGCAACCCCAGUUGCAUUACCACGACAACCAGCACCGGGGGUGCUGCCAGCUCUCUGCCUCGCCAGCCCAGCACCCGGUCUGCCACCCAGCCAGCUAUCCAGUUGUCUCCACAACCAUCCAUCCAGCCGUUCGGCCAUCCAGCCGGCCCUGCCCUGCCCUGCCCUACCCAGAACUGGCAACCUGCAGGAGUCAUCAGGGCUGAAUAAAAGGCAAAGAGGAUGAUGCUGAGGACUCAUCUCAUACAGAUUUAGAUUCAGAUAAACUGAGUUUUCUGAGUGCACUUAUGGGACAGAUCCAGGACAAGUCAGCAUCCAUGUAGAACUGCCUGCGCACACGCCAGCUGCCUGCAGUCCUGCAUUGUCAAUGUCUCGUUUGACCUCAGUUAAAUAUAUGACUAAUUGAGAGCAUGGAAAAAAAUUGGAGAGAGGGAAGCAGGAUGCCAGACAAAGGAUGGGGGCUGGGAGAAAUGAGCAGAGGAGACGGCGAGGAAGAGGUGGUAAAAAAGAAGAAGGAAGAACACGGGGAGAAGGGGGAGUUAUUAAGAAAAGAAAGAGACAUCUUUGGAAAGAUGACAUGACAUCUACUUUUAUACUCCUAUCAAUAGAUAUUUUUUUCAAGUCCCUCAUUCUCUCAAAUAUGUCAUAGAUCAUUCAUCCUCUUUUCAACCAUUAAUUUCUCUCUGUAUCACCCCCAUUUCUUGCACCAGCUGUUCACUCAUCUGUUUCACUUUUGAUCUCCUUUUCCUGCAACAUCAAUUUUUUUUCUAUCAUAUACCUCAUCUGCCUCCUUGACAUUCAUUUUCCCCCUCUCUCAUAUCUUUCACACCUUUGUUAUUUUCUGUUUUUCCAAUAAGCCCUUUCCUUGAAUCACCCACUAAGAGAAGCCCCGGAUUGAUCUCGCACACAAAUGCAUAGCUCAGAUAUUGAUUAUUUCUCACACUGAGGACAUGUAGACACAAAACGCUAUUCAUACGUGCUGCUAAGUGGCUGCAUCGCUUGCAGCAGCGUGGAUCUAUAGCGUUCAGGUGGAGGAGGUCUCUCUGAGCAUGUGGAAGCUAUCUUGAAACAAGGGGCUGGCUGCCAUAGCAACCAUAUGAUGAAGCAGGCAGGGCUAUUUAAAGGAAUUCAGCUGCUGCUUGCGUUCCCGUCAGCUUCACACCGGUCCGGGUGACAGACAAAGGAACAGAUGUGAAUGCAAGAUGAAUAUAGAUUCUUGUAGUUCCAAUGAGUGAAAUGCAACAAAUACCUUAGUAACAGUCUAAAUUUAGGGUUACCUACACACAAAUGUAUAAUACUCACAUUUAUAUUUGCAUGAACAAUCAAUUAAAUUGCCUUUAACUCCUACAUUAGAAUCUCCAACCUAUGAAAUUCGUGUUAGAUUUUUAGUGUUUAUUCCUCAAGCACAACCUUGUUCCUUUUCUUUUUUCGAGGACCAAUUAGAUAAAUCAGAUUUAAUUACAGCUUUUCCACUUAACACAGCUAAACAUGUGAACGCGCUCCUCUUCUUGUUUUGGUUGGAACACACUGCACACAUUUUAAAAUCCAUUAACAUGAAAGGUAGACAUUAAUGCGCACACUUAUCAUCACAAAAGGUGGACGCAUUCCGGUUUCGAUAUAUGCAAAUUUGAAUUACACAAUGUAGCCAGAGCUUGCUGCACAAUAGUGUAAUUUUGUUUUCUAUUACGGUGAUGAGCAUAUGCCUGAAUAAUCUACGGAAGGGGUCAUUGUAUUCUUGUGUCUCGAAUUAUUCAUGAUGAAAAAAAAGAACAUACUUUUUCUCCAGAGAGCUGUUUCACACGUGAAGACAAGUGUGUGCGGGAGAACAAUUGCCGUGGAAGCGAAACAGACGGAGUGAAAACAAAGGAUUCCUUAAACACACAUUGUAUUCACACAUUUCUCUGUCCUUGUAGUUGUUUGUAAGGAGGUGGACACCUGAAGGAAAGCCUAAUGAGAGAACUGCUGUAUUUUAACUCCGCUUCACAUGUGUCGCUACCAAUAACAGUCAAUAGCCACAAGCAUUAACUCUGCAGUGACGGGCAGUGCCGCCUUUACAUCCCGCAUUUUCCUGCUCCGUUUUUCCCCUUUUUUUUAUUGUUGCUUUUCCUGCUCAGCUUUUCAAUGGAUUUCCAUCAAAAAUAAGCUGUUUGACAGCAUCCAGGUCACAGAGAUACAUUUUCCCCAGUCAAUAAAUGAAGGAAGGUAGAUGAAAUAUUUUCUUGGUAUAUAUUUUUAUUCUGGAUUUCCCUGGAUUUGUCUUCUGGAAUCCUUUGCAGUCAGUGUGAUCUGGUACUCAUGGAAGACAUUGUGUAGCAAAACAAAACACUUCA